AACGUCGCCCUUUAGGGUGGGGGNCCACAGUUGGNAACGACUGCUAAAUACCGCAUAAUGUCUACGGACCAAAGGGUGGCUUCGGCUCUCGCCUUUAGAUUGGCCCAAGUGGGAUUAGCUAGUUGGUGAGGUAAUGGCUCACCAAGGCGACGAUCCCUAGCUGGUUUGAGAGGAUGAUCAGCCACACUGGGACUGAGACACGGCCCAGACUCCUACGGGAGGCAGCAGUGGGGAAUAUUGCACAAUGGGCGCAAGCCUGAUGCAGCCAUGCCGCGUGUGUGAAGAAGGCCUUCGGGUUGUAAAGCACUUUCAGUCAGGAGGAAAGGUUAGUAGUUAAUACCUGCUAGGUGUGACGUUACUGACAGAAGAAGCACCGGCUAACUCCGUGCCAGCAGCCGCGGUAAUACGGAGGGUGCGAGCGUUAAUCGGAAUUACUGGGCGUAAAGCGUACGCAGGCGGUUUGUUAAGCGAGAUGUGAAAGCCCCGGGCUCAACCUGGGAACUGCAUUUCGAACUGGCAAACUAGAGUGUGAUAGAGGGUGGUAGAAUUUCAGGUGUAGCGGUGAAAUGCGUAGAGAUCUGAAGGAAUACCGAUGGCGAAGGCAGCCACCUGGGUCAACACUGACGCUCAUGUACGAAAGCGUGGGGAGCAAAACGGGAUUAGAUACCCCGGUAGUCCACGCCGUAAACGAUGUCUACUAGAAGCUCGGAGCCUCGGUUCUGUUUUUCAAAGCUAACCGCAUUUAAGUAGACCGCCUGGGGAGUACGGCCGCAAGGGUUAAAACUCAAAAUGAANUUGACGGGGGGCCCGCCACCAAGCCGGUGGGAGCCAAUGUGGUUUAAUUCGUUGCAACGCGAAGAACCUUACCUACACUUGACAUACAGAGAAC
rnacentral:rRNA from 1 species